UACUCCCGCCGGCGACCGGCGCACCGGGUGAGUAACACGUAUGAAACCUGCCCGUAGCACGGGGGAUAAGCGGAAGAAAUUCCGUCUAAUACCGCGUAACAACCCGAGGAGGCAUCUCCUCCGGGGUUUUAAAGGAAGCGAUUCCGGCUACGGAUGGUCAUGCGUCGCAUUAGCUAGUUGGCGGGGUAACGGCCCACCGAGGCGACGAUGCGUACGGGGGUUCUGAGAGGAAGGUACCCCCACACUGGUACUGAGACACGGACCAGACUCCUACGGAAGGCAGCAG
rnacentral:rRNA from 1 species